AGCGUGGGUGGGAGGGAAGCAAGAGGAGGCUGAAGCCAGAGCUAAUGCCCCAGAGAACAGAAGUGGAAUGGUGGCCAAGAUUCCAUGUGUAAGUGAGAUCACACAGUGUUUGUCUUCCUCUGUCCGAGCUCUCGUCUCUCCAGAGAGUGAAGGCUGAGGCUCUGAGGCCGGUGAAGAGCUGGAUUCGGCUGCUGUGGUUCUUGGGGUGUCUCGGUGGCUUGAAGUUAGGGGGAGGAAGAGGACCCAGUGUACAGAAGCAGGAGUGCUCUGAGAGGAAGGAAAACCAGGCUAGAAGGUAAUUGUUGAUUGAAUCAAAUGCUCUCAAAGGAAAAUUUUGUUUUGUGUUUAUAU
rnacentral:lncRNA from 1 species